AUUGAACGCUGGCGGCAUGCCUAACACAUGCAAGUCGAACGGGUGUAGCAAUACACCUAGUGGCGGACGGGUGAGGAAUACAUAGGAAUCUGCCUCAGAGUGGGGGAGUAACCCCGGGGAAACCCGGACUAAUACCGCAUGAUCUCGCAAGAGCAAAGCAGGGGACCGCAAGGCCUUGUGCUCUGAGAGGAGCCUAUGUCUGAUUAGCUAGUUGGCGGGGUAAUGGCCCACCAAGGCAACGAUCAGUAACUGGUCUGAGAGGACGAUCAGUCACACCGGAACUGAGACACGGUCCGGACUCCUACGGGAGGCAGCAGUGGGGAAUAUUGGACAAUGGGCGAAGCCUGAUCCAGCAAUGCCGCGUGUGUGAAGAAGGCCUCGGGUUGUAAAGCACUUUAGUCAGGGAAGAAAAAUGCUCAAGCUAAUAUCUUGAGUGUUGACGGUACCUGAAGAAUAAGCACCGGCUAACUCUGUGCCAGCAGCCGCGGUAAUACAGAGGGUGCGAGCGUUAAUCGGAUUACUGGGCGUAAAGCGUGUGUAGGUGGCUGUUCAAGUCGGUUGUGAAAUCCCCGGGUCGUCAACCUGGGGAAUUGCUUCCGAGACUGAGCGGCUAGAGUACGGUAGAGGGCGGUGGAA
rnacentral:rRNA from 1 species